UGGAUGAUGGAUGGAUGGAUGAUGGAUGGAUGGAUGAACGGAUGAUGGAUGAUGGAUGGAUGGAUGAUGGAUGGAUGGAUGGAUGAUGGAUGGAUGGAUGAUGGAUGGAUGGAUGGAUGGAUGGAUGGAUGAUGGAUGGAUGGAUGGAUGGAUGAUGGAUGGAUGGAUGGAUGAUGGAUGGAUGGAUGGAUGAUGGAUGAUGGAUGGAUGGAUGAUGGAUGGAUGGAUGGAUGGAGGGAUGAUGGAUGGAUGGAUGGAUGGAUGGAUGGAUGGAUGGAUGGAUGGAUGCAAACUGGGAUCCCGUGUGCCAGGAGCUGCUGGGAGCAGUCCCGAGCCAGGAAUUGUCCAGGCCAGCUCCUCUGCUCAGCAGCUGCUGGGAAGAUCCCGCUCGCUCCCUAAAUCUGGGUGCCGAAUUUGGGGAUCUGUGACCAGUGUCCCGAGGAGAACAAGGACUGGACACAAGGUGGUGCCAAGGUCGCUCCUGCCCCUCAUCCUGACCUCGGUUUCCCCACAGGUUUUGCCAUUCCUGGAGGGAAGGAAUUCCAUCGGUGGUGGGAGCUGCUGGAAUCAUCUCAGCGCUGAGGACACCGGGCCGUGCCCAGGGCUGGCACUCAUCCCCUCGGCCAGGGAGCGGCUCCCGAGGCAGGAUUUGUCCCUGGAUGUCUCCUCUGCACCGGGACCCCGAGCCCUGAGCCUCGGCUGGGAUUUGGACGCUCCCUCCCGUCUGCAGCUGGGAACGGCACGGCCGGGAGGCUGCAGGCACCUGCUCCUCCCAAAUCCCGCGGAUUUACUGCUUCUGGCACCUUCCUGCUGGGAAUGGCUCCGUCCCAGGGAAUCUCCCGAGGGACAGAUGUGGGAAAGCAGCACUUAGAGGUUACAAUUCCUUCUUUUUCUGCGCUGCUCCUGAAUCCCGGCUCUGGAGGAGGAAGGAUCCCAUGCACUCCUGGAGGACAAAUCCUGCUGCUCCGAGCCGCCAAAUGAGCUCUGCAGGAAAUGCCUCAUUCCUCACGGUGUCCAAACUUUCCUUUGGAUCCCCCGGGAACCAGAUCCAGCUCUCCGUGCCCAUCCCUGGCUCUGCUCCGUGUCCGUGGGAUGAGGAUGAGGAUGGGGAUGAUGUCUGGGACGGCCCCGAUGCUCCCCGGCACCGCAGCUCAUCCCUGCCAGCCGCUGUGGCAAUGAGGAAAUUGUGGAUUUCCCAUCCCUGCAAUGCCCAAGGCCAGCCUGGGGUAGUGGAAGGUGUCCCUGCCCAUGGCAGGGGUGGGAUGGGAAUUGUCCUGCUCCGAGGGAGAGCUUUUCCCACCUUGCAGAGCGCCAGGAUAGGACAGCAGGAGCUGUCGCUUCCCAGAUUUCUGCUGGAAUGCCGUCAGAGCCUCCUGCUGCGGCUGCUGAGCGCUCAGGGGGGAUUAGCGGUGUUUUACAGCCUCCCUUUCCCAAAUCCUCUGCUCCAUCCCAGCCCCGCAUCCCCAGCUGGAUCCUCCCUGCCUGCCCCUUGUCAGGAUCACGGUGCUGCUCCCACUUCUCCCCAUUUCCCUCGGGAUUUGGGAAUGCGCUGCUCACACAUCCCCGUGCGCUCCUCCUCUCCCGCCCCUCAAAUGCCUUUGCCAUUCCCAAUUUAUUCAUUUCCCGGAGGGGAUUUGUUAUUCAUUUCCCGGAGGGGAUUUGCUGGGGACGAAACAUUCCGGCUCCUGCGGGAGCCGCAGCGGUGCUGGGGAGGCUCCGCUGCCUUUUCC
ensembl:lncRNA